rnacentral:rRNA from 1 species
AAAUUGAAGAGUUUGAUCAUGGCUCAGAUUGAACGCUGGCGGCAGGCCUAACACAUGCAAGUCGAGCGGUAGCACAGAGAGCUUGCUCUCGGGUGACGAGCGGCGGACGGGUGAGUAAUGUCUGGGAAACUGCCUGAUGGAGGGGGAUAACUACUGGAAACGGUAGCUAAUACCGCAUAACGUCGCAAGACCAAAGUGGGGGACCUUCGGGCCUCAUGCCAUCAGAUGUGCCCAGAUGGGAUUAGCUAGUAGGUGGGGUAACGGCUCACCUAGGCGACGAUCCCUAGCUGGUCUGAGAGGAUGACCAGCCACACUGGAACUGAGACACGGUCCAGACUCCUACGGGAGGCAGCAGUGGGGAAUAUUGCACAAUGGGCGCAAGCCUGAUGCAGCCAUGCCGCGUGUGUGAAGAAGGCCUUCGGGUUGUAAAGCACUUUCAGCGGGGAGGAAGGCGGUAAGGUUAAUAACCUUGUCGAUUGACGUUACCCGCAGAAGAAGCACCGGCUAACUCCGUGCCAGCAGCCGCGGUAAUACGGAGGGUGCAAGCGUUAAUCGGAAUUACUGGGCGUAAAGCGCACGCAGGCGGUCUGUCAAGUCGGAUGUGAAAUCCCCGGGCUCAACCUGGGAACUGCAUUCGAAACUGGCAGGCUAGAGUCUUGUAGAGGGGGGUAGAAUUCCAGGUGUAGCGGUGAAAUGCGUAGAGAUCUGGAGGAAUACCGGUGGCGAAGGCGGCCCCCUGGACAAAGACUGACGCUCAGGUGCGAAAGCGUGGGGAGCAAACAGGAUUAGAUACCCUGGUAGUCCACGCCGUAAACGAUGUCGAUUUGGAGGUUGUGCCCUUGAGGCGUGGCUUCCGGAGCUAACGCGUUAAAUCGACCGCCUGGGGAGUACGGCCGCAAGGUUAAAACUCAAAUGAAUUGACGGGGGCCCGCACAAGCGGUGGAGCAUGUGGUUUAAUUCGAUGCAACGCGAAGAACCUUACCUGGUCUUGACAUCCACAGAACUUUCCAGAGAUGGAUUGGUGCCUUCGGGAACUGUGAGACAGGUGCUGCAUGGCUGUCGUCAGCUCGUGUUGUGAAAUGUUGGGUUAAGUCCCGCAACGAGCGCAACCCUUAUCCUUUGUUGCCAGCGGUCCGGCCGGGAACUCAAAGGAGACUGCCAGUGAUAAACUGGAGGAAGGUGGGGAUGACGUCAAGUCAUCAUGGCCCUUACGACCAGGGCUACACACGUGCUACAAUGGCAUAUACAAAGAGAAGCGACCUCGCGAGAGCAAGCGGACCUCAUAAAGUAUGUCGUAGUCCGGAUUGGAGUCUGCAACUCGACUCCAUGAAGUCGGAAUCGCUAGUAAUCGUAGAUCAGAAUGCUACGGUGAAUACGUUCCCGGGCCUUGUACACACCGCCCGUCACACCAUGGGAGUGGGUUGCAAAAGAAGUAGGUAGCUUAACCUUCGGGAGGGCGCUUACCACUUUGUGAUUCAUGACUGGGGUGAAGUCGUAACAAGGUAACCGUAGGGGAACCUGCGGUUGGAUCACCUCCUUACCUUAAAGAA